GAAGAACGGGCACUUACCAUAACAAGUAAGUCGCAUUGACCAGCCCCAGGCGGCUGUUUACCAAAAACACAGGUCUCCGCAUAGUCGUAAGACAAUAUAUGGGGGCUGACGCCUGCCCAGUGCCGGAAGGUUAAGGAAGUUGGUUACAAAUUUAUUUGGAAGCUGACGACCGAAGCCCCGGUGAACGGCGGUCGUAACUAUAACGAUCCUAAGGUAGCGAAAUUCAUUGUCGAGUAAGUUUCGACCUUCAGUAAGGCGUAACGAUCUGGGCGCUGUCUCGGAGAGAGGCUCGGUGAAAUAGACUUGUCCCGUGAAGAUGCGGACUACCUGCACCUGGACAGAAAGACCCUAUGAAGCUUGACUGUAUCUUGGAAUUGGGUUUGGGCUUUUCUUGCGCAGCCUAGGUGGGAGGCUAUGAAAAUUACCUUCUGGGGUAAUUCGAGCCGUCUGUGAGAGACCACUCUGGAAGAGCUAGAAUCCUAAUGGGGAUCCUUGAAUCAGGACCCUUGACAGAUUCAGGUGGGCAGUUUAUUUGGGGCGAAUGCCUCCUAAAAGGUAACGGAGGCGUGCAAAGGUUCCCUCAGUCUGGACGGAAAUCAGACAUUGAGUGUAAAGGCAAAAGGGAGCUUGACUGCAAGACCUACAAGUCGAGCAGGGGCGCAAGCCGGCCUUAGUGAUCCGACGGUGCCGUGUGGAAGGGCCGUCGCUCAACGGAUAAAAGUUACUCUAAGGAUAACAGGCUGAUCUUCCCCAGUUCACAUCGACGGGAAGGUUUGGCCCAUCGAUGUCGGCUCAGGGUUCAGAACGUCGUGAGACAGUUUG
rnacentral:rRNA from 1 species